ACGGAGGAUCCGAGCGUUAUCCGGAUUUAUUGGGUUUAAAGGGUGCGUAGGCGGGUUGAUAAGUCAGUGGUGAAAGGUUUGCGCUCAACGUAGACAUUGCCAUUGAAACUGUCAGUCUUGAGUACAAAUGAGGUAGGCGGAAUGUGUUGUGUAGCGGUGAAAUGCAUAGAUAUGACACAGAACACCAAUUGCGAAGGCAGCUUACUGGGAUGUAACUGACGCUGAGGCACGAAAGCGUGGGGAUCAAACAGGAUUAGAUACCCUGGUAGUCCACGCAGUAAACGAUGAUUACUAGCUGUUAGCGAUAGAAUGUUAGUGGCUAAGCGAAAGCGAUAAGUAAUCCACCUGGGGAGUACGACCGCAAGGUUG
rnacentral:rRNA from 1 species